rnacentral:rRNA from 1 species
UACAUGGCUCAGAACGAACGCUGGCCGGCAUGCCUAACACAGUGCAAGUCGAACGAAGGCUUCGGCCUUAGUGGCGCACGGGUGCGUAACGCGUGGGAACCUGCCCCUCGGUUCGGAAUAACAGUUAGAAAUGACUGCUAAUACCGGAUGAUGACUUCGGUCCAAAGAUUUAUCGCCGAGGGAUGGGCCCGCGUAGGAUUAGCUAGUUGGUGGGGUAAAGGCCUACCAAGGCGACGAUCCUUAGCUGGUCUGAGAGGAUGAUCAGCCACACUGGGACUGAGACACGGCCCAGACUCCUACGGGAGGCAGCAGUGGGGAAUAUUGGACAAUGGGCGAAAGCCUGAUCCAGCAAUGCCGCGUGAGUGAUGAAGGCCUUAGGGUUGUAAAGCUCUUUUACCAGGGAUGAUAAUGACAGUACCUGGAGAAUAAGCUCCGGCUAACUCCGUG